GAAGUCCUGCUGGUCACUACUGGCACAUCACUUUCUCCUGGAAGCAUGAUCUGCACUCCCUUCCUUCCACCUCCUGACCUGAGAGCCCAUUCAGCGGCACAGGCUCACCCGGGGAGCCUGCUGGUCUCUGAAAAUCUUGGAGUAGCUGGUUCCAGAGAACCCUAGCAUGUUUCACCAAGUGCUUCAGGGGAGGACACCAGACACUUGGAAAUUGAGACCAUGAGACCCACAGACAUAGACCCAUGAAUGGUGAUCAAUCGCCCUCUGCUGCCACAUGCCCCUGCUUUCCCCAGUUCCUCCAGUGGG